rnacentral:rRNA from 1 species
CCUACGGGUGGCUGCAGUGGGGAAUAUUGCACAAUGGGGGAAACCCUGAUGCAGCAACGCCGCGUGGGUGAAGGAGCGUUUCGGCGCGUAAAGCCCUGUCAGCGGGGAAGAAGAUAGACGGUACUCGACCAAGAAGCCUUGGCUAACCACGUGCCAGCAGCCGCGGCAAUACGGAGGGGGCGAGCGUGGUCCGGAGUGACUGGGCGUAAAGGGUGCGUAGACGGCGGUGUAAGCCUUGAGUGAAAGACCGCGGCGCAACCUCAGUACUGCUAGGGGGACUGUUUUACUGGAGUAUGAGAGGGGUUAGCAGAAUUCCUGGUGUAGCGGUGAAAUGCGUAGAUAGCAGGAGGAACACCGGUGGCGAAGGCGGCUUACUGGAUCAAAACUGACGUUGAGGUUCGAAAGCGUGGGGAGCGAACAGGAUUAGAUACCCUUGUAGUC